rnacentral:rRNA from 1 species
AGAGUUUGAUUAUGGCUCAGGAUGAACGCUGGCGGCGUGCUUAACACAUGCAAGUCGAGCGGAGGUUGUACUCGGUACAACCUUAGCGGCGGACGGGUGAGUAACGCGUGGGUGACCUGCCUUAUACAGGGGGAUAACAGUGAGAAAUCACUGCUAAUACCGCAUAAGACCACAGUGCUGCAUGGCACAGAGGUAAGAGGAGCAAUCCAGUAUAAGAUGGACCCGCGUCUGAUUAGCUAGUUGGAGAGGUAACGGCUCACCAAGGCGACGAUCAGUAGCCGACCUGAGAGGGUGAUCGGCCACAUUGGGACUGAGACACGGCCCAAACUCCUACGGGAGGCAGCAGUGGGGAAUAUUGCACAAUGGGGGGAAAAACCCCCUGAUGCAGCAACGCCGCGUGAAGGAAGACGGUUUUCGGAUUGUAAACUUCUAUCGACGGGGAAGAAUAAAUGACAGUACCCGAGUAAGAAGCCCCGGCUAACUACGUGCCAGCAGCAGC